AAGUCCUUUUCCUGAUUUUCACCUCCGAGUCUCCGUGAAUUCUAACCACGUGGUUCACAGCAUCAUCAAAAAUGUCUGAUCCAACAGUACAGUAACCACAGAAGUACGUGUACUCAUCACUUGGCCUGGAAAUAAUGUACAUAAGGAAUAGAGAAUCAUUUCACAGCAUUUCGAAGGAAAGUCAACCUUAAAUUUAUAUUAUAUAUAAAUCUAUAUUUUGCGUUCUGAAACUUUUCAUUCUGAUCAGAAAUCACUGAACAUUUUGUUUUGGUUCAUUUUAGAUGCAAAAAGUGACAUUUUGUUAGUUAAUCAGAGCAAGAAGGUUUGAUCGAAUUUCAGUAAAAAGGCGCCAGAUUAAAGACAAUAGUGUAAACAGACUGCACUAUAGAAGAUGAUAGAAUGCAAGUAUAUUUAUCAAAUCUGAUCAAAUUAUCAUUGGAAAGUAAGAGCAUGAUAGAGAAUUGUCAAGAAUAAAGUCAGAUUAUGAAAUGUAUACCAACGUCGAUACAAAUGUAUAUGAAAUGUUUGCGCGCUUAAUAUGUGCAAUAUUGUUAAAAAUGCAAUGUCUUAUUAAAAUUGUCAUGGAAAACAAAGAUUUACGUCAGUAAAUUUCUUUGGCAAUAGGCAUUUAUGGAGUCCACAUUGAAAUCCAUAUUACAUUGUAAAUCCAAUAUUAGUAUUCCAUAUAAACUUUUAAAUAAUUAUUAUGAUUAAAAUGUUAUAGAUAUUCAUAGUCAGCAUACUUUCUUUAAAUAUUUUGGGUAAACUUUUGAUUUCUUUUUCAAACUUUUUCACAUGUGUUGGUAAGGUCACCAGGAAAAUGAAAUAAUCACUGCACAUGUAUAGUACUUCA